GUUUGAUGUAGUAGAGCUAUUGAAUCCCAGGUCUGCAGUUACAACCGAGAUUUCACGAUGCCAGUGUUUGCACCCUGAUCUGCAUCCGGGUGAUCACCUACCUCCACAAAACGAUGCCCCAGAGGGACCCUGUCUGGUAAGCUUUGAAAUGCUCGCUAAGGAGGAUAUCCAUGAGUGAGUAGUCGCUAACCAUCUUUAAAAUCUUUCCUACUACAGGAUCUCUGUGGAUUAUAUUAAAUUUAUCAGUGAAAUUCUUUUCAAUUUGUCCCAUUUAUAUUCACUCCUCAGUAAAGGUCUCUCCA
rnacentral:lncRNA from 1 species